rnacentral:misc_RNA from 1 species
AACCUAGCACACCUGCGGUGUGUACCUGCGGAGGGAUCAUUACUGAAGCGCCUUGGGGAUGUUGCUGGCCUUGUUUUUUUCUUACAAGGCAAAUGUGCACUCCUCGGACAUUUCAAAAAAAUUUCCAACACAACCUCAUGUGCACUUCUUGUAGGAAAUGGCCUCCCUCCCAAAACUCCCCUCCCCUAGGGGGGGUUUGGGUCACAACGCGGGUUGGUGCUUCCUAUGUACCCUUUUCAU